CCAAUUCUGCGUUGUUCGUAAUAUCAUUUUGUCUUAAACCUAUAAGAUCUAAAAGGGAAACUUAAAUUUUAAACUGGACAACACGCCUGUUAACCAGGACUUUGGAAGGUUUAAUGCGGUUACCCACCUGCCAAUGCGGGUUAAAAAGGCAAUCGGAUUACGACAUCGUGCGGAAUGGUU
rnacentral:other from 1 species